rnacentral:rRNA from 1 species
GCGGGGAAAGAAGACCCUGUUGAGCUUGACUCUAGUCCGACCUUCGUGAAAUGAACUGAUUGGUGUAGUAGAGGUGGGAGCUUCGGCACAAAUGAAAUACCACUACUUUCGGUAACAUUUGCCUUCUUUUUAUUACUUAUUCCGUUGUACUAAGUCCACUCCUUGAGUGGUUCUAGCUCUAAGCGCUGGCCUCGGCUAGCGCGAGUAGCGCGGAAGACAUGGUCAGGUGGGGAGUUUGGCUGGGGCGGCACAU